UUUCCUAAAAGUCAGACUUUCAAGACAUACCCACUCUCAGAGAAAGCGAUCUCUCAGAUGUAGCAGUUGAUUCCUGAAUGGCUUCUGAAUCGGACAGGUGCUCAUAAUGAAGAAAAUGUUAAAAAACAGACCUGUUCCUCAUCUGCCGUGCAUUUGAUGUUUCUGAAAUAUUACAUUGGGCUGUCACGGUUUACAGUUGCACAAUCCUUGCAUUUGCUGGCACCAGAUCUCCUGUGAAUCUACAACUAUCAUCCCCACAGCCAAAACGCUAAAAGCAACUACUCAAAUCCCAGUAGCAAUGGAUAUAACACCAAGUGUUGCAGAGGAAUCUCCAACUGGGAAAAAAAUGUAAUCCUUUUGAUAUUUUUGCAAGUUUGAGUCCUGGCCCCCUUAAAAAUAAAAGGUAUAAAGCUAAAAAUUAAAAUCUCACCCUGAAAUACUGGCAAACUGACCGCUCUGAUUUUGAUUAGGAAUCACAUUUGACUCUAAGAAAUCAUCCAAGCUACGCACAAGUAAUUCAGGAAGAUAUAAAUGGCUACAUUAUAAUGGGUAGACACCUAUUUUAAGCAUGAUCUAUGCUUUUAAGAAAAUUCAUUACAAUAAGUCUUACAAUACCAAGCUCUUCAAUGAAUUUUUCAUGUCUGCAUACCAAGAUAUAUAUAAAAUGAUAGUAAUCAUACACCUUUGGGGCAAUGCUGAGCACCAGCUGUUUCACUGAUGAUUUAUAGGUUGCCAUGUUCAAGGUUAAUAAUCAGGAGAAACAGGUUACAGUAUGCAAUGUAUUUAUGUCAGGUUAGAAGUUCAGUAGUGAGGAUAUGAUGUUACGAUGAUAUGUGAGGUUUUAAUUAGCUAUAUCUCAGCUUUCUGGAAAAUCAAAUGCAACCACUUUCCAAAGGUGAAAAAUAAUUGGUGCUAACUUUUAUUUUGAACUCAGUUGAAAUUAAAACAGCAAAAUUUCAUCUUCAUCUCGUCUGAAAUCUGCAUGCAAACUGCCUAAGUUGUCAAUUCAUAAUAAAAGUUCAGUGUUAAGGUGGAUGGAGAUUUUCCCAGGACAGAGAGCAGAACGCUUUAAACUGCAAAUGUAGUUGUACUCCACACUUUGUGAGCUGCCAUACUUUGCAGCCCAAACCACUAAGAUAAGCCCUUACCGUUUGUCAGCACACCAGCCUUGAAGCAACAGUGGAGAUGAUGACCAUGAUGCAUUGGCCCAUGCAGCUUCCCCAGCUGCUGGUAGGAACGUUGCUGAUGGCCAUUUUUGUUUCCUCCCUGGUUCUAACUACAUCCACAUGUCCUCCUGCAAGAGGACGAUUAUAACUGUGUGAUUGCCAGGAUCUGCUCUUCUGUGCAAGAUGUUUACUUUCAACAACAAAAGAGAACGGCUUGGAGUCAACAAUUUAUGCCACGGCCCUUAAGUUUCUGAAUAGUUAGCCCUUGGUUUAACUGGGGAACUGCGCACAAACUAACAAACCUAGAGUCCAGCAACAUAGAAAACCUUUGCCUCAACCUCAACAGGUAAAUUUCUGGAGUUUUCUGACACAACCAAAAGGUGCAAACUUUUCAACUACAGCCUGGGGAGCUCUAGUUGAUUGCACACACCAGUCCCCGAGGAGGGCCUUGGAGCUUUGUCAUCACAUUGCACUGUGUUUCAAAAACCUUUGCUUCUUCAGAUCAGCUUUGCUGAGCUUCCUCAAAGCUGAACGUUCAUUCCCUGAAGUCAGCAGCUUUCUCCACAUACUUCUGUGAUUAUAUUCACAAUAGGGAACUCCAAAUAAGAUGAGGAAAGAGGCUAAUUCAUCUCAGAAGGGUGGCUUUAAAUCUCAGCAGAUUCAGCAAUAGCAUGCUCUUAUUGCAAUGAAAAUCGACGAUCCAUCCCACCUUUGCAUUUUCAGCUGUGCUGCCCACCAUACUAGGAGACGUGCGACAUGUGCUGGUGCCGGGGUACAAGCGCCGGGUCAGGUCGGGAUUCGUGCACACAAGGAGUUACUUGCAGCUUCUCCCCAACAACUGAUCUAUGGCUUAGUGUGAUUUGAGUCUUGGAUAGCCAUGAUCCUUAGUUAAGAAUUUUCGUGAUGUUGAGAUGCUACAUGAAGCAAAAUCCCUCGCCCACAGACCCUGACUGCUGGAUGUCAUGCAUUCAAGGCCUGUCUCCACUUGCUGCUGUGCAUUGAUGUAUGAUAAACUACCUGUUGAAUUCCUAAUAAUGAAUGCAGCCUGCCCUCUAAACAAAUGGGAAGAGGCAACCUGGCACAAUAAAAUCACCAGAGAGUGGGCAAGGAAUAGGACACAGAUGAGAUUUCAUUCUCAUAAAUUGCCUCUCUAUUACACUUGGAGUAUAUUCACAAUAGGGAACUCCAAAUAGAAUGAGAAAAGGGGCUAAUUCAUUUUAUGAGGAUGGCUUUAAAUCUCAGCCUAUAACUAUGCUAGAAAAUUAAUUAUGGCUAUGGUGAAUGAAAGGAGAAGUUAUACCAAUAAUGAACAUCACCCUAUCCUGCUUUCUUAGCCCAAUAAAAUUUUCCUUAACUGAGCAGUGGCAUUCAUAAAUGUCAGCAAAGCAAAACAUGAACAUAACAGGACACGUUGACCUGGGUGCAGGCAGUGGUGCCUACAGAUAGGGAGAAUCUAUUGGAGCCCUUACGCAUUAGUAUGUAAUUUUAAAAGGCCAGUCUGUCUUAGGCAUUUCACAGAGUGACUUAUUGGGCAGUGGAGAAAUAGCCAAUAAAAAAUGGGUGAUAUAAACAUUAUUACUGAGAGUUAUGGUUGAUGGUGGAGGGAGCUAGAACCCCAGGGUGAAAACUUGGCUGUAUUGAAAGUAGUAGUAAGAUUCAUCCUGACUCUGCAUUCUGGCCUUACGAUAUCCAGGUCAUAAACAUAAUAGCCUAAAUUGUCCUAUCAAGUUAUUAGAUUGUACACCCUGCGUUGUUACUGAAGAGCUAGUGCUCAAGAAUUUUAUUUCACUCUAUGUCAAUGUAUAUUUGCUGCUUAUUGGCCUGGCAGAGGUCUUUGUAGGUCUCACAAAUCCAUUGCCCUAAAAGACAGCUAAACACCCUUCAGGCUUCUCUGUUUGUAUUUGUUUAACCUCUUCUUAAAGACCUUGAGAGAUGGGGAUCCCGCAAACCAUGCUGUUCUUCGCUUGCAUUUUAGCUUCCUUUCCUUGCUGUAUUUUUUGCUUAUUACUGUUACUGCUGUUCUCCAUGAACAAGGAGAACCAAAGAAUCCCUUUUCCUUGGCAGCAGUGUUUUCUACCUUGGAAAUCAGUUAUCAUGUUCCCCCAUCAGUUCUUUUAUCUUCAGAUUGUCCCACAGUUGGCCUAGUCUUUCCCUGCAGGUUGU